rnacentral:rRNA from 1 species
GUGCCAGCAGCCGCGGUAAUACGGAGGGGGCUAGCGUUGUUCGGAAUUACUGGGCGUAAAGCGCACGUAGGCGGCGAUUUAAGUCAGAGGUGAAAGCCCGGGGCUCAACCCCGGAACUGCCUUUGAGACUGGAUUGCUAGAAUCAUGGAGAGGUGAGUGGAAUUCCGAGUGUAGAGGUGAAAUUCGUAGAUAUUCGGAAGAACACCAGUGGCGAAGGCGGCUCACUGGACAUGUAUUGACGCUGAGGUGCGAAAGCGUGGGGAGCAAAACAGGAUUAGAUACCCUGGUAGUCC